UACGUAGGUCCCGAACGUUGCGCGAAUUUACUGGGCGUAAAGGGUCCGUAGGCGGUUUAGCAAGUGGUUGGUGAAAUUUCACGGCUCAACCGUGAAACUGCCUUCCAAACUGCUAAACUUGAGGCAGGGAGAGGACGGCGGAAUUUCCGGUGUAGCGGUAAAAUGCGUAGAUAUUGGGAGGAACACCAGUGGCGAAGGCGGCCGACUGGAACUGUCCUGACGCUGAGGGACGAAAGGUAGGGGAGCAAACCGG
rnacentral:rRNA from 1 species